AUGGAGAAGGCAACGAAGAAGGCAGCGAAGAAGGUAGACAACACAGACAAGGCAAUUUGGGAUGCAUACCAUACUAGGGUAUUUUGCGAGUUGUGUGCGAGGGAAGUUCAAGCAGGCAAUAGGCCAGGGGAAUUCUUGAGUCCUAGAGGAUAUAAGAAUUUGGGGGAGAGCUGGUUGUAGAUAACUAAGAAAAGUUAUGUGAGGAUGCAAUUCAAGAAUAGAUGGGAAAAUCUCAAAACUAUGUAUUGUCAAUGGAAACAACUGCAAAUUGACGCAUCUGGACUUGGAUGGAAUGCUAAGCUAGGAACCAUUGAUGCUGAUACUGAUUGGUGGAACACUCACCUAAUAAAAAACCCGGAGCAUGCAAAGUAUAGGAAUGGAGGACCACCUAACUUGGCUGAAAUGGACCUCAUGUUUGAUGACCAUCAUGUCACCGGUGCCGAGUCAGCUAUCCCCGGUGAGAUACCAUUGGACAAGGAGGAUGUUAGUGAUGACACUAAUAGUGCAGAGGAUGAUGAUGAAGUCAUCAAAGCAAAACCAAAGAAGCAGCGAAAGACCAAGUCCUGUAAAGAUGAUUUUUCUGCUCAAGAUGAGAAGAACCCAUUUGUUUGGAUGUACAAGAAGGCUAGUAAUGCGAUAUGUGUAACGACUGAAAGUAUAAAAGAAGCAUCUAGCUCCAGCAUGGCCCGUCCUCCCCCUCCUCUGGUUGCUCCUCCCCCUUCCUAG
rnacentral:rRNA from 1 species